AACACUGUUAACCUGCGGUACCUGCGGAAGGAUCAUUAUUGAAUAAACUUGGUCAAGCUGUUGCUGGUCCUUCGGGACAUGUGCACGCUUGCCACCAAUUUUAACCACCUGUGCACUUUUUGUAGACUUGGAAACGUUUCUCGAGGCAACUCGGAUUGAGAACUGCUGGCGCAAGUCGGCUUUCCUUAUGUUUUCUCAGUCUAUGUUUUCAUAUACACCUAAUGUAUGUAUCAGAAUGUA
rnacentral:misc_RNA from 1 species